GUGUGUGUUCACUUUAUUUCUUUUUGUACGGAUAUGCUUUGUUUUCCAUUUUUGUUUUUACUUGUCUAAUAAAUACCUUCAAGUUCAUACCAAUUUGAAGAAAAUGAGUUAUGUAACAAAAUAAAGGAAGUGAAAACUAGAGGGAAGUUACAUUCCUCUAAAGCUUUCAUAACUGAACAGAUGCUGUGAAGUUAGUGAUGCAAAAAAUCUUCUACAAGCCUGGUUACACUUCACUGAAAUAUCUUGAGUUGCUUUAUCUUUAUGAUGAGUCAAAGUGGACGAUAGUGGCAAGAUCACUGCUUUCUUUUUCAGUAACUCUCGGUGAACUGACAGGAAUUUGCAAAAACAAAGAUGGUGGAUUCUUUACCAGCUGAGCUACCAUGGAAAGCUCUACGUGUCAAAUAGGAGGGUCAAAUACAUACUUAGUGUGUGAUUCAUGAAGACCGUAAGUUGUUUAAUAUCUGUUAAACCUUUCACUUUAACAAAUAUUGAAUGCCUAUACAAUAUGCCAAGUGUUAUGCUAGGCACUUUUGCAUUGUUUUCUCAUAGAUUGUCAUAAAAGUUAUCGAGCUUGUCCAUGACCAUGUAGUUGUUUAGUGAAAGAGACAAAGAACUACGAAAUGUAGUCAAGUGCCCUUUGCAUGACACCAUGAUUCUAACCAGUAAGGCUGAGAUGAGAUUUUCAUGAUUAAUACUUGCAAUUUGUAACAGUACUAAUAUUGUUGAAAUGUUCACAUUAAAAUGUUCAGCUUUGAUAAGCUGAAAACACUACCAAUGUUUAAAACC
rnacentral:lncRNA from 1 species